rnacentral:rRNA from 1 species
CCUACGGGAGGCAGCAGUGGGGAAUAUUGGGCAAUGGGCGCAAGCCUGACCCAGCAACGCCGCGUGAAGGAAGAAGGCUUUCGGGUUGUAAACUUCUUUUCUCAGGGACGAAGAAAGUGACGGUACCUGAGGAAUAAGCCACUGCUAACUACGUGCCAGCAGCCGCGGUAAGACGUAGGUGGCAAGCGUUAUGCGGAUUGACUGGGUGUAAAGGGCGUGUAGGCGGGACUGCAAGUCAGAUGUGAAAACCACGGGCUCAACCUGUGACCUGCAUUUGAAACUGUAGUUCUUGAGUACUGGAGAGGCAGGCGGAAUUCCUGGUGUAGCGGUGAAAUGCGUAGAUAUUAGGAGGAACACCAGUGGCGAAGGCGGUCUGCUGGACAGCAACUGACGCUGAGGCGCGAAAGCGUGGGGAGCAAACAGGAUUAGAUACCCUGGUAGUC